UUCUUCACUUAUUUUGUUUAUUUGGUUGUAUAGGUUCGUAUUACCGGAUGUGGGUGUACGUAGACCUAAUUUAUUUAUAUGAUUUAGUAUGGAUGUGAAUUGGUCCAUAAAUCUUCCUGGUCGUUCUUCAUUGGAUAUGCUUUUGUGAAUCUGUUGUCCAUUGAUAGUCUGACUUUGGAUUGAGUGUCUGAUUCCACAUUUAUUUUGGUUAAUGUGUUUGCAUUCCUUUGGUAUGUUCACUAUUUAUAUUAGUUGGUAUUGGUGAAAAUUAUUCUAUAAAUAUUCCUAGUUGUUCUUCUCUGGAUAUGCUAUUACGAAUCUGGUGUCCAUUGCUAGUCCAAUUUAGGAUUGAGUGUUUGAUUCUUCACUUAUUAUAGUUAUUGAUUUCAUUGGUGACUUUAGUAUAUGUACUUGCGUUAUGGUAUGAAUUGGCUCUCACCUUUGCCUGGUUGUUCGUCCUUGGAUAUACUCCUUAUAAAUCUGAUGUCCAUGGAUAGUUCAACUUUGGAUUUACUGCCAAUUCGACACUUAUUUGUCAUUAUAAAUUAUGUCUCAUCUUUAGCACUUUUACUAGGACUUCGGGUCAUAUUUUGCAAUUUCCGUUAUUUGCUGCAGUGACCAUCCUACUUUCCCUUGAUUAUUAGUGGUGAUUAUUUGUAAUCUUGCGAAUCAACGGGGAAUGAUACACUAAGCACUACUACUCUAGUUUAAUAUUUUGAAAAAAAAAAAAAAAAAAAAAUUUUUUUAAAUAAAAUUUUUUUUCUGGUGGUUGAAAGGGAAUGUGACGUUCCGCCCCUUAUAGAAUCGAUUAUUGAUGGGAAGAUAUUAUUUAACUAUCCAAAAUAUUAUUUAAUUAUUUUCAGAAUUAUUUUCUUUCAAUGUUUAUUCAAAUAGAACUUAAACCCAUCUCAGAAUUUUUAAAUGCUUGAUGACGUCACAUUUAAAACGUGGCAACAUUGGUUUCCCCACUUUGACAGCCAAUGCUUAGUAGAGGGGUACGAAGGAUUCAGCUGUGAACGUGAGCCUUGGAUUGCCAUUGUUUCUCGAGUGUUCGGUCUGAAUCGUAGUGUGCGGGGUCAUUAGACUCAAUUAUUCACCUCUAAUUCUCAGUUCCAAAUUGAUUAAAUAUUACAAUAAAAGUAUAGUGAAGUUAUCCAGCAGCAGUGGAUUUGAAGAAUUUUAGAGCAUACUAUAUCCAAUGAGUUCUACCCCGCACCUACCAUGAAAUCUUAAAGCCACCCUACAACAACACCAAGGCCAGACCACACAGAGAGAAACAAUCAAUAGGCGACCAGCCUGGAUUAUUUCCACAUUUUCUUUUUUUGAGUACCUCCAGCUGCUUUCCAACAGUUUUGAGUACCUUCAGCUGCUUUCUACCAGUCUUCCUCUCCUGUACCUCCAGCAGGACAGCUGCUAGCGAGAGUUAGCACCCUUGGGUGCUCAUUACAUCAACUUCAAGAUUAGGAAAGAGUGGUUUGUUUGGGAACAUUUACUGUGCUCUUAUUAAAGACAGACUGGUUUUGUGAUAUUUAGUACAUUUUUUUUAUAGUUCAAUUGCACACACCUUUUUCCUGCUUUAUAUUUUUUAUAGGUUUUUUUUUCUUUACAACAUAAUAUUUAAUUGAUAGCGUUCCCCAACACUCUGCAAUCUAUAAAGGUAUAAAUUUCUGAGCUCAGAUAUUUUCCCUGAUAAUAGUAGUCGGUACUCUUAUCUUGAUUAUUUUUAGGCUGUGUUCCACUUUUGUAUAAUUAUUUAAACUCAUUCCAUUAUUUUAGUAUAUGUUUAAUUAAAUUUUUAAAAAUUAACUUCACAUAUUAGUCAAAAUUGUAAUUAUUAACUUUAUUUAACUUGAACUUAUUAACUUUACUUAACUUUAACUUAUUAACUUUAUUUAACUUUAACUUUAAUUUAUUAAAUUCAUAUGAACUUCUGGAUUCUAAUCCCUCAGAUUAGUUUUUGGUUUCACUUGUUAUUAUUACUAUUAUAAACCACGAGUUAGGAAAAGGAUCUGUGUAUCCACUCGUAGGUUUAUUUAUUCAAUAAGGCUUGUGCCUGUCCCACUCACAGUGAGGUAUUUAUAUGUUAUAUAUAGUAUCAGGUAGUAUUUAAUUAAGGUGUACGUAUUAUAAACGUACAAUUAUUAUUUGGUGAGGGUUCUACUAACCUAGUUGUAAGUUGUACUUCCUGUAUUAGAGGUACCCGUAGUCAGUUUUUCUAACCUUAUAAAGAGUAUUCUUAGAUCAUAGUUGUAUGAUGAUUUUGUAAUUGACUUUCACUAGUAUCACUUUUUCCUGUCAUGUUAGGGUUACACACUAGUUACUUGUCCUAACUCAGAGAUUGUUAAAAAGAUCUAGUAGUUACAUUCAAUAAAUAUACAUUUAUUGUGA
rnacentral:lncRNA from 1 species